GACGAGCGCUGGCGGCGUGCUUAACACAUGCAAGUCGAACGGAAAGGCUCCAGCUUGCUGGAGUACUCGAGUGGCGAACGGGUGAGUAACACGUGGGUAAUCUGCCCUGCACUCUGGGAUAAGCCUGGGAAACUGGGUCUAAUACUGGAUAUGACCUUUCUCCUUAUGGGGUUUGGUGGAAAGUUUUUCGGUGUAGGAUGAGCCCGCGGCCUAUCAGCUUGUUGGUGGGGUGAUGGCCUACCAAGGCGACGACGGGUAGCCGGCCUGAGAGGGUGAUCGGCCACAUUGGGACUGAGAUACGGCCCAGACUCCUACGGGAGGCAGCAGUGGGGAAUAUUGCACAAUGGGCGGAAGCCUGAUGCAGCGACGCCGCGUGAGGGAUGACGGCCUUCGGGUUGUAAACCUCUUUCAGCAGGGACGAAGCGUAAGUGACGGUACCUGCAGAAGAAGCACCGGCUAACUACGUG
rnacentral:rRNA from 1 species